CAGUAGCGUAUAUUAAAGUUGUUGCAGUUAAAAAGCUCGUAGCUGGAUUUCUGGUUUGACGAGUCUGACCCGCUGCGUUCAUUCGCAGUGAGUGUCGGUUUGCUUGUCUACCAUCCUUCCAGAAAACGAUUCUACCCUUUACUGGGCCGGGAUCGCAAUCUGGAACUUUUACUUUGAAAAAAUUAUAGUGUUCAAAGCAGGCUUGCGCUGUGAAUACAUUAGCAUGGAAUAAUAAUUUAGGACUUCGGUUCUAUUUUGUUGGUUUUCAGGACUGGAGUAAUGAUUGAUAGGGAUAGUUGGGGGUGCUAGUAUUCAGCGGCCAGAGGUGAAAUUCUUGGAUUCGCUGAAGACUAACUUAUGCGAAAGCAUUCACCAAGGAUGUCUUCUUUAA
rnacentral:rRNA from 1 species